GACGGGACCGCACAAGCGGUGGAUGAUGCGGUUUAAUUCGAUGCAACGCGAAAACUUACCCACCUUUGACAUGUACGGAAGUUGCCAGAGAUGGCUUCGUGCUCGAAAGAGAGCCGUAACACAGGUGCUGCAUGGCUGUCGUCAGCUCGUGUCGUGAGAUGUUGGGUUAAGUCCCGCAACGAGCGCAACCCUUGUCAUUAGUUGCUACGAAAGGGCACUCUAAUGAGACUGCCGGUGACAAACCGGAGGAAGGUGGGGAUGACGUCAAGUCCUCAUGGCCCUUAUAGGUGGGGCUACACACGUCAUACAAUGGCUGGUACAAAGGGUUGCCAACCCGCGAGGGGGAGCCAAUCCCAUAAAGCCAGUCGUAGUCCGGAUCGCAGUCUGCAACUCGACUGCGUGAAGUCGGAAUCGCUAGUAAUCGUGGAUCAGCAUGUCACGGUGAAUACGUUCCCGGGUCUU
rnacentral:rRNA from 1 species